UUUAUUUUCCCUACCUAUUAUUCACUAUUGGUUAGAGCCUGUAAGUAAGUAUUUCACUGUAAGGUACCUGUUGUAUUUGGCACACGUGACAAAUAAACUUUGAUUUACACUCUCUGGGGCCAUUGGGAUGUCCCUACCUCUAAACCCUAACCUUACAUUUCAACUUCAAUGUGGGGGGGUAGGGACAUCCCAAGGAUUCCGAAUAGCAAGAGGCCUUUACACAAGGGACCAUCGUGUACAAGAUACAACACUACCAUCUAGUGGCCAAUUGAAUAACAGUUGAACCGUUUCAAAACAUUCCGAAACGUGUCGACUUGCUUGAACAUACCACGGAAGUGUGAGACAAACGUUGAGCGGUAUGUCCAGUCAACCAGUUUAUUUAGUGAGCAUUUUAAUUUUAAAACGCUGUGUUUAUUUUUACUGCUAAGGGAUAGCCAACGUCUUCAAACAGACGCCGUUAAAGUGAAAUAUGCCUCGGAGAAAGAGGAAUGCUGGGAGCAGCUCCGAGGGCACUGAGGAUUCAGACUUCUCUGCUGACCAUGAGCACACAGACAGAAUCGAGACCUAUGGGAGAACACGGAGGAACACGCGCCUCACCCGGGCAUCGCUGCGACUCAGCCAAAGUUCUCAAGAUUCCAGCCCUGUCCAGAUCAGCCCAGCAGAGGUGGUGACCUUCUCUGCCCGGCGAGUGACCCGUAGCCGUAGUCUGCAGCAAGGGCCGCCGGUCACCCCCCAAGAAAUACCCUCUGCGCCAGAGUCGCUCUUCGGGGUCGGACACGGAGCAGCAUGUGGAGGACCUGAAGCGAGCAGCAGACCAGGACGAGUCUCCGCCCCGCACCCCAACAGGGAAUGCCCUCUCAUCGGAGUCGGACAUUGACGUGUCCAGCCCUAACGCCUCUCCUGACGAGUCCCUGGCCAAGGAGCUGUCACUCAAAGACUCUGGCAGCGACCUCUCCCACAGGCCCAAGCGUCGUCGCUUCCACGAGAGCUACAACUUCAACAUGAAGUGCCCCACACCAGGCUGCAACUCCUUGGGCCAUUUGACAGGGAAACAUGAGAGGCACUUCUCAAUAUCUGGCUGCCCUCUCUUCCACAACCUCUCUGUAGAUGAAUGCAAGACGAGGGCCUCCUCUCGUGACAAACAGGUGGAGGAGCGGACGUUGUCCCACCGGCAGGAUGAGAACAGACACGGUACCCGUCACCAGGCCCCAACGGAGAGACAGAUGAGGUACAAGGAGAAGGUGACGGAAAUGAGGAAGAAGAGGAACUCGGGUCUGCUAAAAGAGCAGAAAGACCAGUACAUGGAUCACCGGCAGUCCCACGGCAACAACCGAGAGCCCCUCCUGGAGAACAUCACAAGUGAUUACGACCUGGAGCUCUUUCGAAAAGCCCAGGCACGUGCUUCGGAGGAUCUUGAGAAGCUGCAGGGCCAGGUGGCGGAGGGCAGCAACAUGAUCAAGACCAUUGUGUUUGGCCGCUACGAGCUGGACACCUGGUACCACUCGCCCUACCCCGAGGAGUACGCCCGCCUGGGACGCCUCUACAUGUGUGAGUUCUGCCUCAAGUACAUGAAGAGUCUGACCAUCCUGCGCCGGCACAUGGCCAAGUGUGUCUGGAAACACCCACCAGGGGAUGAGAUCUAUCGAAAGGGAAACAUCUCCGUCUUUGAGGUGGACGGUAAAAAGAACAAGAUCUACUGCCAAAACCUGUGCCUUCUGGCUAAGCUCUUCCUGGACCACAAGACCCUAUACUACGACGUGGAGCCAUUCCUCUUCUACGUCAUGACAGAGGCUGACAACACCGGCUGCCAUCUUGUUGGCUACUUCUCAAAGGAGAAGAACUCGUUCCUGAACUACAAUGUCUCCUGUAUCCUCACCAUGCCACAGUACAUGAGGCAGGGCUACGGAAAGAUGCUGAUUGACUUCAGUUACUUACUGUCUAAAGUGGAGGAGAAGGUGGGCUCUCCAGAGCGGCCCCUCUCAGACCUGGGCCUAAUCAGCUACAGGUCCUACUGGAAGGAGGUGCUGCUGCGCUACCUCAACCAGUUCCAGGGGAAGGAGAUCUCCAUCAAGGAGAUCAGCCAGGAGACAGCCGUUAACCCAGUGGACAUCGUCAGCACCCUGCAGUCCCUCCAGAUGCUCAAGUACUGGAAAGGGAAGCACCUGGUCUUGAAGAGACAGGACCUAAUCGACGACUGGAAAGCAAAGGAGACCAAGCGUGGCAGCAGCAAGACUAUUGAACCCACCGCCUUAAAGUGGACCCCACCUAAAGGAACAUAGGACACCCCUCCCCCUACACCAUACCACGCCAACUCUCCAACACAAUGACAUGGGUUCAAAGCUCACUGUCAGAAUAGUUUACUUCAAACAACUUUUUGAUCAGUAUUAUUGAGAGUCCUAACCAGGCUUAAGUAGUAGAUCAUAAUAUCAAGAAGAAUACUAAUGGUGGGUUGCUUGAAACCAGACCCUAGCCUUCCUCACAUGACUUCUCAGUAGAACCGUGUUAACCUAGUGAGCCAGUCAGUAUGUAUGGAAAUAUAGCUGUCUUUCUGGGGAGGGGUCGAGGUAACACAACAAUGUAUCCAUGUUUCUGUUUGGUUUUGGCUUUAUUUGAAAAUGUUUCAUGUUUAAUUUUUUACUUCUGUUUGGUUUUACCACUGUUUUAAGCUGUUUUGGCUAAUGUCCUUUUUUAAGCUAUUUUAAAUUUGGCUUCCUGAAAGAUUGCCAAUUCCCUUUCUUCCCCUUCUCUCCACAGUGUGUACUCUCUUUCAAGUAUUUAAAAGCAACGGACUGGUGAAAACGUUGGCUGGAGGAAGUUCCUUACCCCAAUCCCUUCCUUUUAAAUCCAUGAGGGAGAGUGCACAAGUAAACAUUUUGGGAGAGAAGAAAAAAGAACAGAACUGGAAUUUGCAGUCAGGCUUUUUGUCUGAGGCCGAAGUACGAAUUUGAUGUCAAGUUCAAGUCAUGCUGUCAAUAUAUUUAAAUGAUAGAGAGAAGAUUUUAUGGUACAGGUUUGGCAAGACAAAGUAUAUUCGAAGAAAGUUUUUAAAAUGUGCAGGACUGGUUUCCUAGCCGUACUGAGAACGUGUCAUUAGAAGAGAUUUUCUCGAACAUGUUGCAGAGGAACAAUGCAUGUAGUACCCAACAAUAGAGACUAUUUGUUUUGCAUUGUGGUCAACCCAUUUUAUGUCAGUUUAUGUGUAUAAGGAUAAAAUAAUGGAUUUUGUUUCACCAACAUUUUGAAUUGCUGCAAAUGUUACUGACUGCUAGACUGAUUGUGCAUAUACAUUGGAUGAAACCAGAAAUGACCUCCAUCUGCUGUGUGUGUGUAUAUAAAGAUUUUGAGUUUCCACAGCAACGUAUGGCCCUCAUCUCAAGAAUUUAUAGCCACAAUAGGGCAAUAAAUAUAUAAAGUGCACAUCUUUAUAGUUGCAGAAGAAAUGGCCUUUACUGACCAUAUGUCAAGUGAACUCUUUAUUAACAUCGUAAAGAAUUCACAAACUUCACUGUCAUUCUGAAAUAGUGUUAAUCAUUUGUGUAGAGUUUUUAUUCAGUUGUGUUUCUGGGUUGUUUUUGUUUUUCUUGUGUAUUUAAAAAAAAUAAGCUAUUUGAUCUGUGCAUUUGUAUGUCAUGGGGGAGUAACAAAACAAGCUCAAUCUGAGAGGAGGUAUUUCUUCAAGGCUGCCAAAUAGACUGUAUAUUUCACUGUCAUAUUUCAAUGGAUCCAGGUUUGAAUUAAGAAAGUAAUUCUUCAAUAAUAUGGCAUUUAUGAUUAUUUUCAGAAUGGAAGCACUCGUGUUGAAGUUUUGGAUUUCCAAUUGAAAUUGCAUGUUAAAACAGUUGUGGGCCAGUCAGGCUUCAUUCAUUCCUUCUGCUUUUGAAUGUUAAGUAAAAGACCUUGAAAUAUACCUGCCCAUCAGUUUGUUUACUUCCUUAUUUUGACUCUCUAAAACUAGAUUGUAACACUGUCCACUAUUUUGGGGUAUGAUUUAGAUUUAGUUGCAAAGUUCAUGGUUCUUCAAAGAGUCUGUAUAAUGUCAGCAUCUUUGGCAUGAAUAGAUGCUAACUUGGCCUAACAUCACACAGAGGUAUUAUAGCAGGUCAACUUGCAGCUCAUUUCACUGUAUAUUUUAUACGAACCUGCUACAACAGGUCAACUGUUAAUUUCCCACAAACAAUUAUAUUCCUUUACCUCUGCCUUUCAUAUGUUGCCUCCCAACAUGUUGCUGUGGUCUGUGUUGUCUUGAUGCUUCCUCCUGUGCCUGUCAUGGCAGCUAUAGAAAGCAACUCCAGAACAGCUCGGUUUACCUGAAACCAGUGUGCGUGGUCAUAAUGUUCACCUUCAUACAAGCAGUUGUUCUUCAAUAAGCUAUCAAAAGAGCAGUAGACCACUGUAGCUACACAGCAGUACCUCUGUACAGCAUUAAUAUGUAGAUAAGUUGUGUGCACCUGCUUUUGUACUUGCUUCCUCUCCAAUAAAUCUGAACUCCAAAAUG